CCUACGGGUGGCAGCAGUGGGGAAUAUUGGACAAUGGGGGGAACCCUGAUCCAGCCAUGCCGCGUGUGUGAAGAAGGCCCUCGGGUUGUAAAGCACUUUCAGUGAGGAAGAACGCCUGGUGGUUAAUACCCAUCAGGAAAGACAUCACUCACAGAAGAAGCACCGGCUAACUCCGUGCCAGCAGCCGCGGUAAUACGGAGGGUGCGAGCGUUAAUCGGAAUUACUGGGCGUAAAGCGCGCGUAGGUGGCUUGAUAAGCCGGUUGUGAAAGCCCCGGGCUCAACCUGGGAACGGCAUCCGGAACUGUCAAGCUAGAGUGCAGGAGAGGAAGGUAGAAUUCCCGGUGUAGCGGUGAAAUGCGUAGAGAUCGGGAGGAAUACCAGUGGCGAAGGCGGCCUUCUGGACUGACACUGACACUGAGGUGCGAAAGCGUGGGUAGCAAACAGGAUUAGAUACCCGGGUAGUC
rnacentral:rRNA from 1 species